rnacentral:rRNA from 1 species
CAGCAGCCGCGGGAAUACGAAGGGGGCUAGCGUUGUUCGGAUUUACUGGGCGUAAAGCGCACGUAGGCGGAUCGAUCAGUCAGGGGUGAAAUCCCAGAGCUCAACUCUGGAACUGCCUUUGAUACUGUCGAUCUGGAGUAUGGAAGAGGUGAGUGGAAUUCCGAGUGUAGAGGUGAAAUUCGUAGAUAUUCGCAGGAACACCAGUGGCGAAGGCGGCUCACUGGCUCGAUACUGACGCUGAGGUGCGAAAGCGUGGGGAGCAAACAGGAUUAGAGACCCGCGUAGUCCAUGUCUCUUAUAC